rnacentral:rRNA from 1 species
GAUGAACGCUGGCGGCGUGCCUAAUACAUGCAAGUCGAGCGGUAAGGCCACUUCGGUGGUACACGAGCGGCGGACGGCUGAGUAACGCGUAGGAACGUACCCCAAACUGAGGGAUAAGCACCAGAAAUGGUGUCUAAUACCGCAUGUGCUCUACGGAGUAAAGCUUCGGCGGUUUGGGAACGGCCUGCGUAUGAUUAGUUUGUUGGUGAGGUAAUGGCUCACCAAGACUACGAUCAUUAGCUGGUCUGAGAGGAUGAUCAGCCAGACUGGGACUGAGACACGGCCCAGACUCCUACGGGAGGCAGCAGUAGGGAAUCUUCCACAAUGGGCGAAAGCCUGAUGGAGCAACGCCGCGUGCAGGAUGAAGGCCC